rnacentral:rRNA from 1 species
UACGGAGGGAGCUAGCGUUGUUCGGAAUUACUGGGCGUAAAGCGCGCGUAGGCGGCUUUGUAAGUUAGAGGUGAAAGCCCGGGGCUCAACCCCGGAAUUGCCUUUAAGACUGCAUCGCUUGAAUCCGGGAGAGGUGAGUGGAAUUCCGAGUGUAGAGGUGAAAUUCGUAGAUAUUCGGAAGAACACCAGUGGCGAAGGCG